AUUGAACGCUGGCGGCAGGCUUAACACAUGCAAGUCGAGCGGGGGAAGGUAGCUUGCUACUGGACCUAGCGGCGGACGGGUGAGUAAUGCUUAGGAAUCUGCCUAUUAGUGGGGGACAACAUCUCGAAAGGGAUGCUAAUACCGCAUACGUCCUACGGGAGAAAGCAGGGGAUCUUCGGACCUUGCGCUAAUAGAUGAGCCUAAGUCGGAUCAGCUAGUUGGUGGGGUAAAGGCCUACCAAGGCGACGAUCUGUAGCGGGUCUGAGAGGAUGAUCCGCCACACUGGGACUGAGACACGGCCGAGAAUCCUACGGGAGGCAGCAGUGGGGAAUAUUGGACAAUGGGCGGAAGCCUGAUCCAGCCAUGCCGCGUGUGUGAAGAAGGCCUUUUGGUUGUAAAGCACUUUAAGCGAGGAGGAGGCUACCUGGAUUAAUACUCUAGGAUAGUGGACGUUACUCGCAGAAUAAGCACCGGCUAACUCUGUGCCAGCCGCCGCCGUAAAAC
rnacentral:rRNA from 1 species